CGCGUGGUCCUGGUCGCGAGCACAUGGAAGUGAGGUUUGAGAUUUGUGUCUGAGAGACGAGCGAGCGACUGUCGGGAAAACGGAAUAUAAAGUGAAUUAAAGAAGCAGCCCGAGCAGCCCGGAAGCGCUCUCUCAGCCCGCUGGCUUUCCUCUGGAGCAGCUGUCGGUCAGCGUCAGUUGGUGAAUCUCGGAAACACAGAUCGCUAAUGAGGCUGGAGCUCUCGAGGACUGCCUGGCCCUGAACUCAGCGUCACUUAGCACUGUGUGAUGCUGAGGAUCCCCUGUUGCACUCGGGGAGGCUUAUGCAUCUGAAACGUGAAUAUUAUAUACGUCACGUCGAAUCAGGAGACGAGUGCUCUCGUCUGGCUUUGAGAUCUCGCUGUGCUCGGGGUGGUCCUGCAAACCCAGGAAAGUCCAGGCUUCUGCUGCUGCUGUGAUGGUGGUGUUGCAGACCCCCCCAUGCAGGCCAGAUCUUUCUGCAGCUUCUGCACCGACACAUGAUCUGACUAGGAAGGAUGCAAAGGUGGAAGCAGACCGUGCUGGAUUCAGUUUCACAGCAUCUUACUGGAGCAAACACACACAACAUACUGCAAGGUUUUCAGUAGUAUCUACUUCCCCCUUUUUUUUCUUUUUUUUUUGUUUGAGAGGACACGGAUACACCCUGACUGGGCCCCUGUAGUGCUCUACAUUGUGGCUGGGAAGUACCUAGUUUUACAACUGUCAUGCUGGCCUGCUUAAAGGGACAGUGCUGAUCAAUUCGAAGCACAUAUUGAGGGGUCUUUUAGUCACCCUAACAAGGGGGUCACAUGGAUGUUUGAGUCGUCACCUGAUAUGUGAGGAAUGUGCAGUCAGAAGAGCUGUUUUCUGCAUCAAGCACUGCAUAAAAAUACUGAUUGA